CGACCCGGCCCAGUGCGCAGGCGCGGGAAAGUUGAACUAAUAAAGUUUGUACGAGUUCAGUGGAGGAGACCGCAAGUUGAGUGGAGGAGGCGGCGGUGGGGCCCCGGACCAGGUGCCUCCAUGGCAGGCUCUGAAGAGCUGGGGCUCCGGGAAGACACGCUGAGGGUCCUAGCUGCCUUCCUUAGGCGUGGUGAGGCUGCCGGGUCUCCUGUUCCAACUCCACCUAGAAGCCCUGCCCAAGAAGAGCCAACAGACUUCCUGAGCCGCCUUCGAAGAUGUCUUCCCUGCUCCCUGGGGCGAGGAGCAGCCCCCUCUGAGUCCCCUCGGCCUUGCUCUCUGCCCAU
rnacentral:circRNA from 1 species